rnacentral:rRNA from 1 species
GGGAAUAUUGCACAAUGGGGGAAACCCUGAUGCAGCGACGCCGCGUGAGUGAAGAAGCGUUUCGGCGCGUAAAGCUCUGUCAGCGGGGAAGAAACACGGUUCGCGAGAGCCGCGGACGGUACCCGACCAAGAAGCCCCGGCUAACUACGUGCCAGCAGCCGCGGUAAUACGUAGGGGGCAAGCGUUAUCCGGAAUGAUUGGGCGUAAAGGGUGCGCAGGCGGUCCUGCAAGUCUGGAGUGAAACGCAUGAGCUCAACUCAUGCAUGGCUUUGGAAACUGGAGGACUGGAGAGCAGGAGAGGGCGGUGGAACUCCAUGUGUAGCGGUAAAAUGCGUAGAUAUAUGGAAGAACACCAGUGGCGAAGGCGGCCGCCUGGCCUGUUGCUGACGCUGAGGCACGAAAGCGUGGGGAGCAAAUAGG